rnacentral:rRNA from 1 species
GGGAGCGUUCUGUAAGCCUGUGAAGGUGUGCUGUGAGGCAUGCUGGAGGUAUCAGAAGUGCGAAUGCUGACAUAAGUAACGAUAAAGCGGGUGAAAAGCCCGCUCGCCGGAAGACCAAGGGUUCCUGUCCAACGUUAAUCGGGGCAGGGUGAGUCGACCCCUAAGGCGAGGCCGAAAGGCGUAGUCGAUGGGAAACAGGUUAAUAUUCCUGUACUUGGUGUUACUGCGAAGGGGGGACGGAGAAGGCUAUGUUGGCCGGGCGACGGUUGUCCCGGUUUAAGCGUGUAGGCUGGUUUUCCAGGCAAAUCCGGAAAAUCAAGGCUGAGGCGUGAUGACGAGGCACUACGGUGCUGAAGCAACAAAUGCCCUGCUUCCAGGAAAAGCCUCUAAGCAUCAGGUAACAUCAAAUCGUACCCCAAACCGACACAGGUGGUCAGGUAGAGAAUACCAAGGCGCUUGAGAGAACUCGGGUGAAGGAACUAGGCAAAAUGGUGCCGUAACUUCGGGAGAAGGCACGCUGAUAUGUAGGUGAAGUCCCUCGCGGAUGGAGCUGAAAUCAGUCGAAGAUACCAGCUGGCUGCAACUGUUUAUUAAAAACACAGCACUGUGCAAACACGAAAGUGGACGUAUACGGUGUGACGCCUGCCCGGUGCCGGAAGGUUAAUUGAUGGGGUUAGCCGCAAGGCGAAGCUCUUGAUCGAAGCCCCGGUAAACGGCGGCCGUAACUAUAACGGUCCUAAGGUAGCGAAAUUCCUUGUCGGGUAAGUUCCGACCUGCACGAAUGGCGUAAUGAUGGCCAGGCUGUCUCCACCCGAGACUCAGUGAAAUUGAACUCGCUGUGAAGAUGCAGUGUACCCGCGGCAAGACGGAAAGACCCCGUGAACCUUUACUAUAGCUUGACACUGAACAUUGAGCCUUGAUGUGUAGGAUAGGUGGGAGGCUUUGAAGUGUGGACGCCAGUCUGCAUGGAGCCGACCUUGAAAUACCACCCUUUAAUGUUUGAUGUUCUAACGUGACCCGUAUCCGGGUUGCGGACAGUGUCUGGUGGGUAGUUUGACUGGGGCGGUCUCCUCCUAAAGAGUAACGGAGGAGCACGAAGGUUGGCUAAUCCUGGUCGGACAUCAGGAGGUUAGUGCAAUGGCAUAAGCCAGCUUGACUGCGAGCGUGACGGCGCGAGCAGGUGCGAAAGCAGGUCAUAGUGAUCCGGUGGUUCUGAAUGGAAGGGCCAUCGCUCAACGGAUAAAAGGUACUCCGGGGAUAACAGGCUGAUACCGCCCAAGAGUUCAUAUCGACGGCGGUGUUUGGCACCUCGAUGUCGGCUCAUCACAUCCUGGGGCUGAAGUAGGUCCCAAGGGUAUGGCUGUUCGCCAUUUAAAGUGGUACGCGAGCUGGGUUUAGAACGUCGUGAGACAGUUCGGUCCCUAUCUGCCGUGGGCGCUGGAGAACUGAGGGGGGCUGCUCCUAGUACGAGAGGACCGGAGUGGACGCAUCACUGGUGUUCGGGUUGUCAUGCCAAUGGCACUGCCCGGUAGCUAAAUGCGGAAGAGAUAAGUGCUGAAAGCAUCUAAGCACGAAACUUGCCCCGAGAUGAGUUCUCCCUGACUCCUUGAGAGUCCUGAAGGAACGUUGAAGACGACGACGUUGAUAGGCCGGGUGUGUAAGCGCAGCGAUGCGUUGAGCUAACCGGUACUAAUGAACCGUGAGGCUUAACCU